UGGGGAAUUUUGGACAAUGGGCGAAAGCCUGAUCCAGCAAUGCCGCGUGUGUGAAGAAGGCCUUCGGGUUGUAAAGCACUUUUGUCCGGAAAGAAAUCCUCUGGGUUAAUACCUCGGGGGGAUGACGGUACCGGAAGAAUAAGCACCGGCUAACUACGUGCCAGCAGCCGCGGUAAUACGUAGGGUGCAAGCGUUAAUCGGAAUUACUGGGCGUAAAGCGUGCGCAGGCGGUUUUGUAAGACGGAUGUGAAAUCCCCGGGCUUAACCUGGGAACUGCAUUCGUGACUGCAAGGCUAGAGUAUGGCAGAGGGGGGUAGAAUUCCACGUGUAGCAGUGAAAUGCGUAGAGAUGUGGAGGAAUACCGAUGGCGAAGGCAGCCCCCUGGGCCAAAUACUGACGCUCAUGCACGAAAGCGUGGGGAGCAAACAGGAUUAGAUACCCUGGUAGUCCACGCCCUAAAACGAUGUCAACUAGUUGUUGGGGAUUCAUUUCCUUAGUAACGUAGCUAACGCGUGAAGUUGACCGCCUGGGGAGUACGGUCGCAAGAUUAAAACUCAAAUGAAUUGACGGGGUCAU
rnacentral:rRNA from 1 species